rnacentral:rRNA from 1 species
AGUGAACGCUGGCGGUAGGCCUAACACAUGCAAGUCGAACGGCAGCACAGUAAGAGCUUGCUCUUACGGGUGGCGAGUGGCGGACGGGUGAGGAAUACAUCGGAAUCUACUUUUUCGUGGGGGAUAACGUAGGGAAACUUACGCUAAUACCGCAUACGACCUACGGGUGAAAGCAGGGGAUCUUCGGACCUUGCGCGAUUGAAUGAGCCGAUGUCGGAUUAGCUAGUUGGCGGGGUAAAGGCCCACCAAGGCGAUGAUCCGUAGCUGGUCUGAGAGGAUGAUCAGCCACACUGGAACUGAGACACGGUCCAGACUCCUACGGGAGGCAGCAGUGGGGAAUAUUGGACAAUGGGCGCAAGCCUGAUCCAGCCAUACCGCGUGGGUGAAGAAGGCCUUCGGGUUGUAAAGCCCUUUUGUUGGGAGAGAAAAGCAGCAGGUUAAUACCCCGCUGUUCUGACGGUACCCAAAGAAUAAGCACCGGCUAACUUCGUG